rnacentral:rRNA from 1 species
GGUGAACGCUGGCGGCGUGCCUAAUACAUGCAAGUCGAGCGAAUGGAUUAAGAGCUUGCACUUAUGAAGUUAGCGGCGGACGGGUGAGUACCACGUGGGUAACCUGCCCAUCAGACUGGGAUAACUCCGGGAAACCGGGGCUAAUACCGGAUAACAUUUUGAACCGCAUGGUUCGAAAUUGAAAGGCGGCUUCGGCUGUCACUUAUGGAUGGACCCGCGUCGCAUUAGCUAGGUGGUGAGGUAACGGCUCACCAAGGCAACGAGGCGUAGCCGACCUGAGAGGGUGAUCGGCCACACUGGGACUGAGACACGGCCCAGACUCCUACGGGAGGCAGCAGUAGGGAAUCUUCCGCAAUGGACGAAAGUCUGACGGAGCAACGCCGCGUGAGUGAUGAAGGCUUUCGGGUCGUAAAACUCUGUUGUUAGGGAAGAACAAGUGCUAGUUGAAUAAGCUGGCACCUUGACGGUACCUAACCAGAAAGCCACGGCUAACUACGUGCCAGCAGCCGCCGUAA